AAAAGUUAUAAAAACGUGUUCCUCCAAAUGGUACUCGUUCACACCCGCACGGGCCUUCCGGGGAGGCUCAGGCUGAGGGCACGCGCUGGUGGACGGGCGUGGGCAGCCUCCGGCCGCUGGUGCCCACGUGGGCCCCGCCCAAAGCCAUGCUCCAGCAUUCAGGACCCCUCCCCAGCCGGGGCAAAGGGGCCUGGCCAUGGGCCUCAGGGGCAAUACUCAAGUGGACAUGGGGAUGGUGCAAGUAGGGGCUUGAGGUGACCAUGGGGCCAGUUCUGCACUCUCAAGGCACUCUCCCCCAGGGGAGCCUUCCUGCUGAGGGACCUGGCCAUUUAUGGGAACAGCUGGGGCAGGACUCCCCCAACACAAGGAAAUGUGAGGCAGGAAGUCCAGAGUCUCCGCUUCCCAGAGUCCUCCUGGGUUGGUGCCUGGGACAGGCAGGGGCUGACUGCCAAGGCAAGACAUUGGCCGGUUGCCUGGGCUGGAGGGAAGGCAGGCGUGGGCACUGCUGGGUGGUGCCCAGGCCAGAGCUCUGGGGCAUUUUCCCAGGCUCUUCUUGGAGGAGGAUGAAGUUGCCCAUUGAAAUGACCUGCUUGACUGCCAGGAGGUGGGAGAGCGUCCCUGACCCUAUUCCUGGCUUCCCGGCGAGGGACACAGACUCAGAUGGGAGGUUGGACAGGCUUCAGCCAACAAAAUCUGGCAGAAGUGACUCUGCUCGUUUUGGACUUAACCUUUAAGAGACUGGCUGUUUCUGCUUUUGCUUUGGGGAUGCCAGCUACCAGACAUGAAGUUACCUGUGCAGACACCAAGGAGACGUGUAUGAGGAUGUUUCUGGAAAACUGCUCUGUAACGGAGGAGAGCAAGAGGUCGCUCCCAUGCCCAGUGACGGGGUGAAGGCCCCAAAGACCAGUGAGCGGCUGCGCUGUGUGCGCAGUGGCACGGACAGAGCCUCAGAAACACGGCAGUGAGGGGGAUCACCAAGCUUCAGAAGACUCCAGUAUGAUGCCUUUUUUAAAAAAAGUUUUAUGGAAGUAUAAUGUACAUUUCUGUGUUGUGGCAUAAUUGACCCAUCUUGUGUGUACAACGUAAUGAUUUUUAGGUAGUUUAGAGAAUUGUGUGCUAUCGCACUAAUUUCAGUACAUUUCCUUCACCCCCCAAACAACCCCGUGUCCACCGUUGGUCACUCCCCGCCCCCUCCCCCAGCCACAGGCAACCGCUGACCCACACUCUGUCUCUACAGACUGGACUUUUCUGGACAUUUCACUUAAGGGGGAUUUUACAAUAUGUAGUCUUUUGUCUCGUGUUUUUGGAGCAUACCCAUGUUGUGGCAUGUAUCAGAACUUCAUCCCUUUUUGUUGCCAAAUAACUUCCCACGGUGUGGAAGUGCCACUUUCCUUUACACACUCAUCAGCUGACGGACCUGGGCUUGUGUCUAUCUGGGGCUACUUGGUCUAAGGUUGUCUGCAUGUAAGUCUUUGCUCAAACAUGGUUUCAUUUCUCUUAGGUAUACAUCUGGGGGGUGCCCUAUUAAA